rnacentral:rRNA from 1 species
UACGUAGGGGGCAAGGCGUUGUCCGGAUUUAUUGGGCGUAAAGAGCGUGUAGGCGGCCAAACAGGUCAGCUGUGAAAACUCGAGGCUCAACCUCGAGACGUCGGUUGAAACCGUUUGGCUAGAGUCCGGAAGAGGAGAGUGGAAUUCCCGGUGUAGCGGUGAAAUGCGCAGAUAUCGGGAAGAACACCGGUGGCGAAGGCAGUGGGCUGGGCCGGCACUGACGCUGAGGAGCGAAAGCGUGGGGAGCGAACAGG